CAAUUGAGGCGUCAUUGGGGAGUAGCCGCUCUUCUAUUUGAAGAGGCUUACGUCAACAUACUUGACCAUCAGGUCAUGGCGUUAGCAGUCCUUUGCCUGGCAAGACCUUUGACCACAUCGCCUCCGCAUUGGCCGGGGAAGCGUUGUGGUCAUUCGUUUGUAAUCCGGCCUUGGAAAU
rnacentral:sRNA from 1 species